UGUCCUCUCAGGGUGUUUGCACAGAGGCUGGCAUGUAUGCUCUGAGAGAAAGGAGAGUUCACGUCACCCAAGAGGACUUUGAGAUGGCUGUAGCAAAGGUGAUGCAGAAAGACAGUGAGAAGAACAUGUCCAUCAAGAAGCUGUGGAAGUGAAAGGCCUUGCAUAUUGUUAAAUCAUGCAACAUUGUUUUUGUUAUUUGUUUGGUUUAUAAUUGUUACACAAGUAUAAAAUAAAUAAUUCCCACAAACCAAA